CGGGGAUUCGGUGGUGGAGCCCCUCCCCACGCGGAUCUGGAGGCAAGGAGGCCGGAUCCGGAGGCGAGAAGGCUAGAUCCAAGCGCUGGCAACGCGUGCACGGCGGGCGGCGGCGCUCCUUCCUCCACGCAUGCAAGAGCUCGCCCUCGAGCGCGGCGGCCUCUUCGCGAUCCAGCACUGUAGCGCCCCAACCCUACCCAGGAGCAUGGCUGCCUCUCAGAUUUGUAUCCACGACGACGGAUCCGCCACGGAUCAGGCUCGUUCCCAACAUGUGCGACAGCCGCGCCCCGGCGGUGGUGCGGGCAACGGUGGACAGGCUCGACUCUGGGCCCUAGAUGGGCUCAUGGGCGGGCUCAUCUUUUUUUUAUUUUUUUGUUUUAUUAACGGUGGCGGGCAUCUAUCCGCCUCGAUAAAUCGGUGAUUUACAGUGACCUUAGAUGCGAGGCAGGCGGAAAAAUCGCCUCCGAAAACCAGUUUUGCCCGCCUCCAAAAAAACAUUAUUGUAGUAGUGGGAUCUUCUUAUUUUGCUUGUGAGCCAAGUCUAAUAGCCCAUCUCUAAAGAAUUCUAAAGUUGAGCGUGUUUGGCCUGGAGAAAUUUAGAGAUGAGUGACCGACAAGGAAGCAAAAAAGACUCACAUUGGUCUAUGAGGAUAGUCUAUGUCCUACAAAAGUUGUCAUAUGUAAGUGAGUCUGGGCUCAUGGAGGCGGGACGUUACACUAGUUAAAUUUGUCUAGCGUUGUGAUUCCUAGUUAAAAUUGCAUGUUUGCCCCCUCUAACCAGUUCUAGCGUUGUGAUUCCUAGUUAAAAUUGCAUGUUUGCCCCCUCUAACCAGUAUCCUUAUAUCCUAUAAAAUUAUUAAUCCAACAUUUUUACUAACCUGUAGAUUAAUUGAUUUAUUUAGAUAAGUCAAGUGUAGUUUUGUAUUUACGGAUAGAUGUAGUAGUUAAGUUGGUUUCUUCUUCAUAAGUGAAUCACGGCACUUUGAUGUGAAAGCUAGGGCUUUCGUGUUGUUUAGGGGUUUGGAUUGUGACAUGAGAUUGUUGAAAACAAAAACAAAGACAUCUAUUUAAUGAGAAUUCACACUACAAUAAACACGAGACAUGUAUUGGC
rnacentral:lncRNA from 1 species